UACGUAGGGUGCGAGCGUUAAUCGGAAUUACUGGGCGUAAAGCGUGCGCAGGCGGUUCUGAAAGUCAGCUGUGAAAGCCCCCGGGCUUAACCUGGGAACUGCGGUUGAAACUACAGGACUAGAAUCUGGCAGAGGGGGGUGGAAUUCCACGUGUAGCAGUGAAAUGCGUAGAGAUGUGGAGGAACACCGAUGGCGAAGGCAGCCCCCUGGGCUGAGAUUGACGCUCAGGCACGAAAGCGUGGGGAGCAAACAGG
rnacentral:rRNA from 1 species